CCUACGGGGUGCUGCAGUCGAGAAUCAUUCACAAUGGGGGAAACCCUGAUGGUGCGACGCCGCGUGGGGGAAUGAAGGUCUUCGGAUUGUAAACCCCUGUCAUGUGGGAGCAAAUUAAAAAGAUAGUACCACAAGAGGAAGGGACGGCUAACUCUGUGCCAGCAGCCGCGGUAAUACAGAGGUCUCAAGCGUUGUUCGGAAUCACUGGGCGUAAGGCGUGCGUAGGCGGUUUCGUAAGUCGUGUGUGAAAGGCGCGGGCUCAACCCGCGGACGGCACAUGAUACUGGGAGACUAGAGUAAUGGAGGGGGAACCGGAAUUCUCGGUGUAGCAGUGAAAUGCGUAGAUAUCGAGAGGAACACUCGUGGCGAAGGCGGGUUCCUGGACAUUAACUGACGCUGAGGCACGAAGGCCAGGGGAGCGAAAGGGAUUAGAUACCCCUGUAGCC
rnacentral:rRNA from 1 species